rnacentral:rRNA from 1 species
UUGGAGGGCAAGUCUGGUGCCAGCAGCCGCGGUAAUUCCAGCUCCAAUAGCGUAUAUUAAAGUUGUUGCAGUUAAAAAGCUCGUAGUUGAAUUUCGAGAUCAGUACGCUGGUCGUGCCUUCGGUAUGCACUGGUGUCACUGGUUUCUCCCUUCUGAAGAACCGUCAUGUCAUUAAGUUGGUGUGGCGGGGAAUCAGGACUGUUACUUUGAAAAAAUUAGAGUGUUUAAAGCAGGCUCGCGCUUGGAUACAUUAGCAUGGAAUAAUGAAAUAGGACGUUUGACCCUAUUUUGUUGGUUUCUAGGAUCGACGUAAUGAUUAAUAGGGAUAGUUGGGGGCAUUAGUAUUCAAUUGUCAGAGGUGAAAUUCUUGGAUUUAUUGAAGACUAACUACUGCGAAAGCAUUUGCCAAGGAUGUUUUCAUUAAUCAAGAACGAAAGUUAGGGGAUCGAAGACGAUCAGAUACCGUCGUAGUCUUAACCAUAAACUAUGCCGACUAGGGAUCGGACGAAGUUAAUUUUAUAAUGACGCGUUCGGCGCCUUACGGGAAAC